AGUAUAGAUUGAUCAUCAAAACUUCUAUUGGGGGCAUUCAAGAAAGUACAGACUUAGGUAGCAUGAAAUGUGACAUAUGUAUAUGAAUUAU